GGAGGAAUAUUGCACAAUGGGCGACAGCCCGAUGCAGCAACGCCGCGUGGAGGACGAAGGCCUUCGGGUCGUAAACUCCUUUUGAGGGAGACGAGCAAGGACGGUAUCCCUCGAAGAAGCCACGGCUAACUACGUGCCAGCAGCCGCGGUAAAACGUAGGUGGCGAGCGUUAUCCGGAUUCAUUGGGCGUAAAGAGCUUGUAGGUGGCCGUGUAAGUUGGACGUGAAAGCCCCGGGCUUAACUCGGGGAGGCCGUUCAAUACUGCGCGGCUGGAGGAUGUCAGAGGGGAGUGGAAUUCCUGGUGUAGCAGUGAAAUGCGUAGAUAUCAGGAGGAACACCCGUGGCGAAGGCGGCUCCCUGGGGCAGCCCUGACACUGAGAAGCGAAAGCUGGGGGAGCAAACGGGAUUAGAAACCCCGGUAGUCCCAGCCGUAAACGAUGGGUGCUGGGUGUGCGCGGAACUAACCCCGCGCGUGCCGAAGCUAACGCGUUAAGCACCCCGCCUGGGAAGUACGAGCG
rnacentral:rRNA from 1 species